rnacentral:rRNA from 1 species
UGGGGAAUAUUGGACAAUGGGCGCAAGCCUGAUCCAGCCAUACCGCGUGGGUGAAGAAGGCCUUCGGGUUGUAAAGCCCUUUUGUUGGGAAAGAAAUCCAGCUGGCUAAUACCCGGUUGGGAUGACGGUACCCAAAGAAUAAGCACCGGCUAACUUCGUGCCAGCAGCCGCGGUAAUACGAAGGGUGCAAGCGUUACUCGGAAUUACUGGGCGUAAAGCGUGCGUAGGUGGUCGUUUAAGUCCGUUGUGAAAGCCCUGGGCUCAACCUGGGAACUGCAGUGGAUACUGGGCGACUAGAAUGUGGUAGAGGGUAGCGGAAUUCCUGGUGUAGCAGUGAAAUGCGUAGAGAUCAGGAGGAACAUCCAUGGCGAAGGCAGCUACCUGGACCAACAUUGACACUGAGGCACGAAAGCGUGGGGAGCAAACA